rnacentral:rRNA from 1 species
UACGGGGGGGGCAAGCGUUGUUCGGAAUUACUGGGCGUAAAGGGCUCGUAGGCGGCCAACUAAGUCGGACGUGAAAUCCCUCGGCUUAACCGGGGAACUGCGUCCGAUACUGGAUGGCUUGAGUGUGGGAGAGGGAUGCGGAAUUCCAGGUGUAGCGGUGAAAUGCGUAGAUAUCUGGAGGAACACCGGUGGCGAAGGCGGCGAUCCUGGACCACGACUGACGCUGAGGAGCGAAAGCCAGGGGAGCAAACGGG